AAGUCGUAACAAGGUUUCCGUAGGUGAACCUGCGGAAGGAUCAUUAACACGUAUCCAAACGUUAAACCCCCCUGUGAACCUUCAGUGUACUCGUACGUCCGUUAGAAAAAGCAGCAAUCCCUGGUAAAUCAUCGCCGAACAGUUUUCGAUUCAGGGACGUCUGCAAGGAGCGUGCAUGUUGUGCGAGCAAGUGGCCUGGCAUCCCCAAGCAGUUAGUGUCUGAAAGUGUCAUUAACUGUGUAAGGAUGACGCAGUCACGAUCGUUGGAGGCCCACACGGCCGACGACCGGGUCACUGGGCGCAAGCCCCCCUAUAACAAACGCUGCUAAGCGCGGCCGCGAUAAUACGCAGUCGACCAAAAACCGAACAACUGUUAACAAUGGAUAUCUUGGUUCUC
rnacentral:misc_RNA from 1 species